AGUGAACGCUGGCGGUAGGCCUAACACAUGCAAGUCGAACGGCAGCACAGUAAGAGCUUGCUCUUACGGGUGGCGGGUGGCGGACGGGUGAGGAAUACAUCGGAAUCUACUUUUUCGUGGGGGAUAACGUAGGGAAACUUACGCUAAUACCGCAUACGACCUACGGGUGAAAGCAGGGGAUCUUCGGACCUUGCGCGAUUGAAUGAGCCGAUGUCGGAUUAGCUAGUUGGCGGGGUAAAGGCCCACCAAGGCGACGAUCCGUAGCUGGUCUGAGAGGAUGAUCCGCCACACUGGAACUGAGACACGGUCCAGACUCCUACGGGAGGCAGCAGUGGGGAAUAUUGGACAAUGGGCGCAAGCCUGAUCCAGCCAUACCGCGUGGGUGAAGAAGGCCUUCGGGUUGUAAAGCCCUUUUGUUGGGAUAGAAAAGCAGCAGGUUAAUACCCCGCUGUUCUGACGGUACCCAAAGAAUAAGCACCGGCUAACUUCGUG
rnacentral:rRNA from 1 species